rnacentral:rRNA from 1 species
AGUGAACGCUGGCGGUAGGCCUAACGCAUGCCAGUCGAACGGCAGCACAGUAAGAGCUUGCUCUUACGGGUGGCGAGUGGCGGACGGGUGAGGAAUACAUCGGAAUCUACUUUUUCGUGGGGGAUAACGUAGGGAAACUUACGCUAAUACCGCAUACGACCUACGGGUGAAAGCAGGGGAUCUUCGGACCUUGCGCGAUUGAAUGAGCCGAUGUCGGAUUAGCUAGUUGGCGGGGUAAAGGCCCACCAAGGCGACGAUCCGCAGCUGGUCUGAGAGGAUGAUCAGCCACACUGGAACUGAGACACGGUCCAGACUCCUACGGGAGGCAGCAGUGGGGAAUAUUGGACAAUGGGCGCAAGCCUGAUCCAGCCAUACCGCGUGGGUGAAGAAGGCCUUCGGGUUGUAAAGCCCUUUUGUUGGGAAAGAAAAGCAGCAGGUUAAUACCCCGCUGUUCUGACGGUACCCAAAGAAUAAGCACCGGCUAACUUCGUG